UGCAUGUCUAAGUAUAGUMCCUUAUACUGCGAAACUGCGAAUGGCUCAUUAAAUCAGUUAUAAUUCAUUUGAUGGUACCUUACUACUUGGAUAACCGURGUAAUUCUAGAGCUAAUACAUGCGCAAAUCCCGACUUYUGGAAGGGACGUAUUUAUUAGAUAAAAGGCCARCCGGACUUCGGKCCGYCCUGUGUUGAAUCAUGAUAACUUCACGAAUCGCAUGGCCUUGYGCCGGCGAUGUUUCAAUMAAAUAUCUGCCCUAUCAACUUUCGACGGUAGGAUAGAGGCCUACCGUGGUUCUUACGGGUGACGGAGGAUCAGGGUUCKAUUCCGGAGAGGGAGCCUGAAAAACGGCUACCACAUCCAAGGRAGGCAGCAGGCGCGUAAAUUGCCCAAUCCCGACACGGGGAGGCRGYGACAAUAAAUAACAMUACCGGGCWUUCAAUGUCUGGUAAUUGGAAUGAGYACAAUAUAAAUCUCUUAACGAGGAUCCAUUGGRGGGCAAGUUUGG
rnacentral:rRNA from 1 species